rnacentral:tRNA from 1 species
GGGCCCGUAGCUCAGUCGGUAGAGCAGGCGGCUCUUAACCGCAAGGUCAGGGGUUCGAAUCCCCUCGGGCCCG